AUUGAACGCUGGCGGCAGGCUUAACACAUGCAAGUCGAGCGGAGCGAGGGUGCUUGCACUUUAGCUUAGCGGCGGACGGGUGAGUAAUGCUUAGGAAUGUGCCUAGUCGUGGGGGACAACAUUCCGAAAGCGAUACUAAUACCGCAUACGCACUACGGGGGAAAGCAGGGGAUCUUCGGACAUCGCUCUACUAGAUGAGCCUAAGUCGGAUUAGCUAGUUGGUGGGGUAAAGGGCUACCAAGGCGACGAUCUGUAGCGGGGCUGAGAGGAUUAUCCGCCACACUGGGAAUGGGACACGGCCCAGACUCCUACGGGAGGGAGGAGUGGGGAAUAUUGGAAAAAGGGCGGAAGCCUGAUCCAGCCAUGCCGCGGUUGUGAAGAAGGCCUUUUGGUUUUAAAGCACUUUAAGCGAGGAGGAGGCUAGUAGUAUUAAUACUACUGGAUAGUGGACGUUACUCGCAGAAUAAGCACCGGCUAACUCUGUGCCAGCCGCCGCCGUAAUAC
rnacentral:rRNA from 1 species